CAACACUUUGUCUUUAUUGGACUCUUGCAGGGAAAGAAUGUGUACAGGUGAGAAGUGCAGGAUGCACAAGGCUACUUAAUGUCUUCUACUUUCAUAUCAACUGAUGCAUGCGAAAGGUGCGGUAGCCGGCAGAGAACGCUGUGCUCCUAUCAGGAAGCUGCGCCUGGCAAAUGCAAGGUUGAGAAAACGGAAACCUCUUUUUUUUUUUUUUUUUUUGCAUCCGUAAUGAUGUCUGACAAGAAGCAGAUAGCUGCCAGAGCUUCCCUUAUUGAGCAACUGAUGUCUAAAAGGAAAUUUGAGGAUCUCGGUAACCACCUUACUGAGCUAGAAACUCUGCAUGUGACUCCGGAGCAUCUCCAGGAGACCGAUGUGGUCAGGGCUGUGUACAGAGUCCUCAAAAACUGCCCCACGGUGGCUUUGAAAAAGAAAGCUAAGCGUUUGCUGUCAGAAUGGAAAGCUCUCUAUAACGAUACUCACUGCAAGCCAUGGGGCAGCCCUAAACUAUUUCCUCCAGGUGGAAAUAAAGAAGAAAAUCAAGGAUUUUCUCCUGACCCAAAUCAGGAUGAGAUACAGGGCAGCUCCAGUUGUAAUUCUCUGCAGGCAUCCCAAGAUGCUGCAGGAGCUGUUGAAAUGACUGUGCCAGAAAACAGCCCUGGUGGAGCAGAGCCUAAGGCAGCACAUCUCAGGGCCAGUGACCCUAAAUCCACUGACAAGAGAGCAAGUGAGCAGCUGGAUCCCGCAGUGCCCAUGAGAGCCAAAUGCACAGAGCUGCUGUAUGAAGCGCUAACUGGUUCUUCCACAGAACAGCCCAGGGUCGAUUUGUGGCACAACUUUGCACAAGAAAUCGAAGAGCACGUUUUUACCCUUCACUCCAGGAACCUCAAAAAGUAUAAAACUUGUAUCCGGAGCAAAGUUGCCAAUCUGAAAAACCCCCGCAAUUCUCAUUUACAACAGAACCUUCUCUCUGGGAGCAUGUCUCCAAGGGAGUUUGCUGAAAUGAACACCAUGGAAAUGGCCAGCCAGGAGCUGAAGCAGUUGAGAGCGUCCUACACAGAAUCUGGCAUACAGGAACAUUACCUGCCCCAAGUGGUGGAGGGCACACCGACCAAGAAAAUAAAGUGCAGACGCUGCGAGAAAUUCAAUUGCCAGGUCACCGUCAUAGCCAGAGGGACACUCUUCCUUCCAAGUUGGGUGCGGAAUUCAAACCCAGAUGAAGAAAUGAUGACCUAUGUAAUCUGCAAUGAAUGUGGGGAGCAGUGGUACCAUAACAAGUCUCCCUUGAACCCUGAAAGUUACCCCCACAGUUAGAAUUUUGUUUCCAGUCCUCUUGCUCAGUCGAAGUUGUCAGACACAGAUUUGAGCUACACAAUCAAUGACAUCAAGCCCCUGGAACAUAGCAGAUCAUGUAGAAUCAACCCACAGCAGUUGCCAUUUAUGUCUCAGCUCAGGUUCAUCAGUUUGGGUCCAGAGGGAUGAUGACAUGAAAUGGAACCACAGCUGACCAUAAUGGACAUUAAGAAACUCCCUGCACUCCU